rnacentral:rRNA from 1 species
AGAGUUUGAUCAUGGCUCAGGACGAACGCUGGCGGCGUGCCUAAUGCAUGCAAGUCGAGCGGGCUACGAUCUUCGGAUUGUAGCUUAGCGGCGAACGGGUGAGUAACACGUAGGUAAUCUACCCUUCAGAGGAGGACAACCUCAGGAAACUGAGGCUAAACCUUCAUACGUUCACUGGUAGGGAUACUGGUGAAGAAAGAGUUACCUUAGUGGUAGCUGCUGAAGGAUGAGCCUGCGGCCCAUCAGGUAGUUGGUGAGGUAACGGCUCACCAAGCCGAAGACGGGUAACCGGUCUGAGAGGAUGUCCGGUCACACUGGGACUGAGACACGGCCCAGACUCCUACGGGAGGCAGCAGCAGGGAAUCUUGGGCAAUGGGCGAAAGCCUGACCCAGCGACGCCGCGUGGAGGAAGAAGUCCUUCGGGGCGUAAACUCCUGGACUGGGGGACGAGGAAGGACGGUACCCCAGUAGAAAGGGACGGCUAACUACGUGCCAGCAGCCGCGGUAAAACGUAGGUCCCGAGCGUUGUUCGGAUUCACUGGGUGUAAAGGGCGCGUAGGUGGUUGUCUGUGUCUCAUGUGAAAACUCAGGGCUCAACUCUGAGAUUGCGUGGGAAACUAGGCAGCUAGAGGACGGUAGAGGGGAGUGGAAUUCCCGGUGUAGCGGUAAAAUGCGUAGAUAUCGGGAGGAACACCGGUGGCGAAGGCGGCUCUCUGGGCCGAUCCUGACGCUGAGGCGCGAAAGCUAGGGGAGCGAACCGGAUUAGAUACCCGGGUAGUCCUAGCCGUAAACGAUGGGUGCUAGGUGUUGGGGGGUAAAGACCCUUCAGUGCCGAAGCCAACGCGAUAAGCAUCCCACCUGGGGAGUACGGCCGCAAGGUUGAAACUCAAAUGAAUUGACGG